UCAGGAUGAACGCUAGCUACAGGCUUAACACAUGCAAGUCAGGGCAGCAUGGUCUUAGCUUGCUAAGGCCGAUGGCGACCGGCGCACGGGUGAGUAACGCGUAUCCAACCUGCCUUACACUCUUGGACAGCCUUCUGAAAGGGGAGAUUAAUACCAAGAUGUUAUCAUGAGUAAGCAUUUUCGCAUGGAUUAAAGGUUUACCGGUGUAAGAUGGGGAUGCGUUCCAUUAGAUAGUAGGCGGGGUAACGGCCCACCUAGUCUUCGAUGGAUAGGGGGUUCUGAGAGGAAGGUCCCCCACAUUGGAACUGAGACACGGUCCAAACUCCUACGGGAGGCAGCAGUGAGGAAUAUUGGUCAAUGGGCGAGAGCCUGAACCAGCCAAGUAGCGUGAAGGAUGACUGCCCUAUGGGUUGUAAACUUCUUUUAUAAAGGAAUAAAGUCGGGUAUGGAUACCCGUUUGCAUGUACUUUAUGAAUAAGGAUCGGCUAACUCCGUG
rnacentral:rRNA from 1 species